UUCUUCGUGGAGCAGGGCAGCUUAAUCCCACUGUGUAUUCAUAAAGAGUCUGUGUAAAAUGAGAGAGGCGGUGGUUCGAAUCCACCCGAAGACA